UACGUAGGGCGCAAGCGUUGUCCGGAAUCAUUGGGCGUAAAGAGCUCGUAGGCGGCCUGUCGCGUCUGCUGUGAAAUCCCGGGGCUCAACCCCGGGCGUGCAGUGGAUACGGGCUGGCUAGAGGCAGGCAGGGGAGAACGGAAUUCCCGGUGUAGCGGUGAAAUGCGCAGAUAUCGGGAGGAACACCGGUGGCGAAGGCGGAUCUCUGGGCCUUACCUGACGCUCAGGUGCGAAAGCUAGGGGAGCGAACAGG
rnacentral:rRNA from 1 species